rnacentral:rRNA from 1 species
UACGGGGGGGGGCAAGCGUUGUUCGGAAUUACUGGGCGUAAAGGGCUCGUAGGCGGCCAACUAAGUCAGACGUGAAAUCCCCGGGCUUAACCUGGGAAUUGCGCUUGUUACUGGCAAGCUAGAGUGCGUCAGAGGGAGGUGGAAUUCCACGUGUAGCAGUGAAAUGCGUAGAGAUGUGGAGGAACACCGAUGGCGAAGGCAGCCUCCUGGGAUGACACUGACGCUCAUACACGAAAGCGUGGGGAGCAAACAGG